rnacentral:snRNA from 1 species
GGAUGUGAGGGCUAUCUGGCAGCGACAUCUGUCACCCCAUUGAUCGCCAGGGUUGAUUCGGCUGAUCCGGCUGGCUAGGCGGGUGUCCCCCUCCUCCCUCACCGCUCCAUGCGCGUCCCUCCCGAAGCUGCGCGCUUGGUCGAAGAGGACGACCUUCCCCGAUAAAGGACCGUUCUUCGGUCAAGGGUAUACGAGUAGCUGCGCUCCCCUGCUAGAACCUCCAAACAAGCUCUCAAGAAUAGGUAAAAUAAUUCUCAUUACUUUUCUGGGAUUUUCAUAUACUGAAACAAUCUACUCUGGAGAAAGUCAAUUUUAAAUGUGGUUUUU